CCUACGGGCGGCAGCAGUAGGGGAUUUUCCACAAUGGGGGGAACCCUGAUGCAGCGACGCCGCGUGAGUGAAGGAGUGCUUCGGCCUGUAAAGCCCUAUCGGCCGGGAAGAAGCAAGACGGUACCUGACUACGAAGCCCCGGCUAACUACGUGCCAGCAGCCGCGGUAAUACGUAGGGGUCGAGCGUUAUCCGGAUUCACUGGGUGUAAAGGGAGCGUAGACGGCCAUGCCAGCCAGGGGUGAAAGCGCGGGGCCCAACCCCGGGACUGCCCAUGGACCUGGAUGGCUGGAGUGCGGGAGGGGCAGGCGGAAUUCCUGGUGUAGCGGUGAAAUGCGUAGAUAUCAGGAGGAACACCGGGGGCGAAGGUGGCCUGCUGGAACGCGACGGACGUUGAGGCCCGAAAGCGUGGGGAGCGAACAGGAUUAGAUACCCGGGUAGUC
rnacentral:rRNA from 1 species